UGCCCGGGGCACGUGCCCCCCUGCCCUCCUAUAGAUACGCCCCUGCCCUGAUAUUGAUCAUGUUUGGCCCUUGUGCUAGUGGAGUUCUGCUGAUCUCACAGUUAUGCCAAUGUUACCAUGGUACAACACCAGCAUAAAUCAUCAACAUCAAAAUUUCUUUGAGCUCCAUUGUCAUAAAUAAAGUUAGCAGCAACCCUUACCCCAUCAUCAUUCAGUGGCAUAAGUAAAGGAUAGGUUUGUGCUAUCAAUUAGCUGUCAAGUCCGUCAUUUAGCUAAUCAUUUCGCUAUUUGGUCAGACUUCAAGGAACUGCAUACCACAGAAAAGAAACAGCAACUCCAUUUCCUUUUCAUCCUGGAAGCCUCUAUUGUCAUCUGCCAAUUAGGAAAGUACUUUACUUUCCAUUUCAUUUGAUUUUAUACCACGGUUUAUUUUACAAUGAAGCCAAUAGAAACAAAGCAAAACUUGUUUCAACAUGCCUUCUGUAAACAAAGGCUGUUGAAAGCAGGAUGCAAAAAAGUGUGUGUGUGUGUGUGUGUGUGUGUGUGGUGGGGGGUCAUCUAUGGCUGUCUGCCUUUCUAACUUUGCCACCACAUUUUUCCAAAGCAUUGGCGUUAGGCAAAGGAUGAAUGGAAGUAUUGUUCAACUUUCCAAACUGGCACAAAGUGCAGUUGAGUCAGGGAAGGAGAAUAAAAUGGUCCUAACAUGAUAUACUGUAAAAGUAUGCAGCAGUUAUUCUUUUUUAAAUAGUGAUUUGUGUCUGAAGGUAGCACAAAUAGCAUUUCACACUUCAUCCCACAUCCUGUUGUAGUUAAUGCUUCAAUUCUGGGUUGGGUUUGGUAUCUUGCUGGGCAAGUUAGCACCUCAGUACUCGCAGGUAUUAUCCUUUGUGCAGUGUCCCUUGUGCUUGCCUAGCUGACACCCUGAAAUACACCCCACCCCCAUCUUGCCCAGUGUCCAGCAACAAAAGAAAGCUCAUAAGGUACUGCACCAGGAAAUGCUAGGGCAUACAUAGGAGAAAUCUAAGUUUCUCCUCUCAAACACAGAUUUCCUGUGUGGUCUUAGCAUAGAAGUACUCAGAUCCGUUUUUUCUUUCUUUUUGCAGGGCAAGGCUGGGGAAGGAAGUAACAUAGAUUGAUUUUAGCUUGCCAUAUGUCAAAGUUGGCAUGCAUAGGAGGCCUGCAGCCUCAGAUUAUAAAACCACUGGAUAGGGAAAGUGUGUGGCUCCUGUGUUCUGAACAGUAAGUUGUACACACUUAGCAUGAACUGUUAAGCAAUACGACACAUAAUGAUGACAAUUUUUUAAAAGGCCUGAAACUUUCUUAGGUAGUAUGAGUCACCUUAUAUUUAACUGAUGGCAGCCUAUAUAGUACACUCCAUACAAAAGUCAUCAUUGGUUCUGAUAAUCAAAUUUCUCCCAAUGCUGAUAUGUAACACAGGUUUUGGGAAAGACAGGAACACAGGAAGCUGCCUCAUACCAAGUCAGAUCAUUGGUCCAUCUAGCUCAGUAUUGUCUACACUGACUGUCAGAGGCUCUCCAAGGUUUCAGGCAGGAACUUCUCCUGUCCCUACCUGGAGAUGCUAGGCAGUUAAUCUAGAACCUUUGGCAUGCAAGCAGAUACUCUACUACUGUGCGACGGCCCUAUCCUCUACAGCAGACAGUGCUCACAUGCAUUCACCCAUCCAAAUACAAACCAGGGUACAUUUGCUUAGCAAAUGCUUAGCAAAGGGGACAAUUCAUGCUCACUACUGCAGGACCAGUUCUCUUCCCCAAGAUUGGGAGACAGAGAGGUCACCUGUCUGUGACAGGCAAGAUGCCAUAUUCUGGCACAAUAUGAUUUAAUUCUUAACCCUAAACGCAAAAAGAGUAGUCGGAGUAAUAACAAUUUCAUUUUGUCAUGGAUUUCUGUUGACCCUAAGGUUUUCUGUAGCAGCAACAUAUUGUAUUAAAUGAGCAGUUAAUAAGCAUGUAACAUUAUCAAUGCAGUAUAAAGGUGGAUUCCAACAUUUGUUCCAUGGUUCACUCCACUUUUACUGAACGUUCUUACUACACACAGGGUUGGUUUAUAACACAAUAGUGUUGUGAGGCAUGGUGUUAAAAUGUCAAGCAGUAGAGGUGGCUCUCUCCUGAGACUAGGAGUGGCCUUGCUGAUGUACAGCUCUGGAUAGUCAUAAGUAGUUGGUUGUUUUCCAACUCUUUUGAUUGAGAGUCACUUCCUGCUGAAAAGGUCUUAAAUUGGCUUCCCAGUCUAGGGCUGCAACCCUUCAUGCACUUACUUGGAAGCAAGCCACACAAACAUACUUAUGAGUGAAUGUGUAUAGGAUUGGGUUGUAAAUCUCAAGAGCUGAAUAGCAGCUAUUUAGAUUUUGAAAGAUAUGCUAAUCCUCUUGCAACAUCUGUCCUUUCUGCCUGCAUUUUGCUUCUGUUCAACUGCUCAACUUCUGCACUUGUAAAUAAACAGAGCAUUCACCACAAGUCUCCAGGGUGUUUUUCUCUCAUAGAGAAUGACCAUGUGAAUGGCGGUCUUGUCAAUGCUUUGGGGAAGAGAUGCACUAAAAACAAUACAUUUUCUUAGAGAACUUGGCAAUGAUAUGUCUUCUGCAUCAACAUGAUGUACAAUGUACACAAAGUGUGAUAGGUCUUUAUGCAGUUAGUUCAGAUCAGUUUUUGCAAAACUGAAAACAGGAUGUAUGAUUUAAGUAGCGGUGAGUUUUUAUUGCAUUAUUUCCUGACUGAAAGUUCAUUGUAAUAAUAUACUUUUCUGACAAUCUUGCCAGUUUUAGAUUGUAGUGAUGACAGGAUCCUAUCUGACAAUGGCUGCUAGACGAUACAGCUGAUUCCUGAGUCAUAUCAAAAAAGAUGAACUUGAGCAAGUUUCCUGGAUCGGUUUUUGCAAAUCCAUGCCAUCUCUCUGACUCAUAAUAAGUAUUCUGGUAGAAAAUCAGAUGAUAUUCCAUGUCUAAAAGUAUUCAGCCAGAUAUACAAUGGUCUCUUAAGCUAUUAUCAGGCUGCCAGCUUAGGAAAAUCUUCCAAGAUUUAAAACAAAAAAUCCCUUAAAUUGCAAUAUUCAAGAGUAAGUCAAAUUUUAACUUUCAUGUUUCCAACCUUCAGAACUGCAGAGAAUAUUCUUAAGCCUGUGUCUAUGGAAGACAUUUUAGGGGGGGGGAAAGCACCUUGGAAUUAGGCAUAUAUAGUCAUAACAUAUACAUAACAUAACACAUACAAUUCAUCACAAAUAUAUAGCCGUAUAAAGGCAAUAUAACAAUGAAAAUAGACAGUGUGGUAGAGGGACUAGAAUACUUGAUCUGAAUAUGGGGAAAGCUAGGUCAAACUCUGAUCCAUAUAUGAUUGCCCAAUAGGCAAAUCAUCAUAUCAAAUCAACAGGGCUGUUCAGGUCUUCCAUUCAAACACUCUAAACUCUUUGAUAGCUUUUCCUCAAGCAUUUGAUUUGAACACUUAAGCAGUCCCAUUCCUCCCAACUUCCUCGACGCCCCCACCCUCCCUGCCAGACUUCUCCCACUUUCCCAAGAAAAGAAAUUCCUUACAGGAGGGGGAGACAACAGCUACAGAGGACAGGACUAUGGGGCAGGAACACAACUUGUAAUAAAUAAUAAACCUUUAGCCCAAGUUCAUAGGCUCUGGUAAGUGCCCACAAUCUCCAGUGGCAAAUGACGGUCAGCUCCUGUCCUCUCCUCUGUGAGUGAGCACAUCAUGAUGGAAAUAAGUUUGAGAUCACAUGAAAAAUAGGGAGCAAGAGAAGUUUUCUGGAUUCAUCAGUGGGAUGAUAGUGGUCUGCUGCUGGCUGGCCUUUGGUAUUUGGGUUUGUUGGUUGGUUGAAUUGGCUGACAUGAUCCACAGCCUUCUGGUGAAGGAAGGUCUACAGAGGACUGCAGGUCCACAAGGAGCCUUCAGCAUCUCUACUGAAGGCUCCUUUCCACAGCAGACCUGGUGCAGAGUGGGAGAGGAGCAACUUUCACAUCCCUCUCCUCUCUUCAAAAGCCCUUUCUACUGAUACAAAUCUGUGUCUGAGGGCUGUGCAACCCUCAGGUACAGAUACAGAUCAGUGUAAAAUAAAGUGUAAGAUAACUGUGUUUGGAAAGAUACAGACUUUUGGAGGAGGGGGAAAGAGAGAAGCAAAAAUAGUUUUCUCCCCUCCCUCCACACCAGGUCUACUGUGCAAAGGAGCCUUCAGUGUAAGGACAUACAUCCCUCCACAGUCAUCCUUCUGUUGCCAUGGAGUUGCAGAUCAUGUCAGCCCUUAUGUCAAUUAUUUAGCAUCUUUAAAAUGUUGUUAUGCUAUUAUUUUUAUUGUUAUUAGUUUGUGACUCGCCUUAGGAGAAGAAAGGCAGCAUAAUUUUAAAAAGAACAACAUUAAAAUAAAGAGAUGAAAGAGCCCUCCGUGUUACAAAUUGUAAAGACUGGUGGAAAAGAAAGAAACUGGAAAUCAUGUACAAAGAUUACAAAUGGAAAAUAUUGUUAUUGUUGGCAGUGGGGUGAUAUUUUGCUUGUAUUAUUUUGCACUGAUACAAACAUUUUUUUAAUUAAUCACAGGUCAGUUGACAAAAAGGUUAGAAAAUGCACAACCAGCAUGUGCCAAAUUUCUUUAAUCCUCUUACUUGUCAAAGAAGAUAGAAGUAUUUUAGCAUAAGAAGCCUAGAAGUUUAGAUAAGCUGUUUUAAAACUUAAAAAACAAAACAAAAAACAGGAAGUCAAAUAUCUAUUUUAAAAGAUUUUCUGCAGCUGCACUAUGAAGGGAAACAAAGCAUGAUUUGGACUUUUUUUAAAGUGGAAAUUUGAUACCACGAAAUCUGUGCAUUUAGUGCUGCCCUGGGAUUUUAAACUUCUUUCACCAUCUUCCACCAUUUAUGCUUUUCUUGUUGCUUCAUGGUUUAUCUCUUCUUUUCUCAAGUACCAUCAUUUCCUCAUUAGCCCUUCAACAGGAGAACUAAAGGGACUUCAGUGGGACUUCAGCCUACCCAAAGCCUACUCCACCACCAUUCACACACUACUGUGCUGAAAGUUGAAGUUCCUCUCAAAGGUGCCCCAAGGUGCACAGUACGGUCCACUUCUGAAGGCUGUAUCCCUGGUUCCCAAAAAUCACAGGCUUCGCAGGGCAGCCACUGACAAGCAUGGUGGUUCAGUUACCCAGGUCCUAGCCCUCAUUUUUGCUGCAAGAGGAGAGGUCCAGAAGAUUGCUGUAUCAUGGCUUCUCCAGACACCCAAGUGUAGAACCCAUGAAAUGCCCAAUGGAGUCUACAAUGCCUUGCAGGGUCAUGAUGUAGUAAUGCUUGUGGCUGUAGUACUUGUGUCGGUGGGGAGGGGGGCACUAAGAUCUCCAUGUGUGUCCCAUCUAUACACACAACGAGGACUGGGAAUACCUUCUGCAGGAACCCUGUAGGAAACCUCCUGAGGGUUGCCCACUCAGAUCACGUCAUCAAGGAAGAGCUAGUUCAAGAGAAGAACUACUUCCCAGAAAAUUCUGCAUGCCAUCAAGUGCCAACCGCAAACAGGUUGCUGAGUGUCAGGUAGUUUGCGUUGGAGGCCAACUUGUACAGCAUGAUGGCAAGGCAAUUAUGUACUGGCAUGGCAUGGCACAUGGCUGUGUCCUGGCAGUGGAGGAUUGGCUCCAUUUCACUGGCAAGGAAGCCAAAGGUCUGUCUGGACAUUCUGAAUCUGCCCAUGAAACACUGAUCAUCCCACUCUGAGAUGGUGAUUUCUUGGGCACUGUUGGCACAGUGGGCCGAUGACCCAAAAAUGGACCCAUGACAGGUGGCUGGACCCAUGAAGGGUACUCUUGGGCGUGUUGUGGAUGUAAAGGGCCCAUGUCCCCCCUGUGGACCCAUGAAGGGUGCCUGCAGCAGUUGGGGUGGCUAGGGCUAGCCGCGGCAGUGGACCCAUGAAGAGUGCCUGCGGAGGUACAGAGGUUGGAGUGGCCCUCCUCUGGUUCAUUGUCAGGAACACCAGGCCCUAUGUCCAGCAAGGGGGCUGUCUGGAACUCCCGGCCAGAAGAUUCCUCCACUGCCCUUCCUGGAUAACACAUCUUCAACAGUGUGUGUGAACAUCUUCAAGGGUGUGUGAACAGUUCCUCCACCUGUUUCAUGUCCAGUAUCUGCUUGUGUGGAGUGUUGCACUCUGCACACAAUCGUGCUCCUGGCUGUCCUCGUCAAAGUAGUGGGAGGGUGGGAGGUGCUGCAGGGUCUUGUGUCUCAUCAUCUUGUGUCUCAUCAUCUUCCUCUCCAGAGUCUAUGAAGUAGAAACCAGACUGGAGUGGCUGUCCCGAGGCAUCCACAAAUUGCAUGAGUACAGGGACUGGAGGGACACAGCAUCCCAGUUGCCAAGCAGCAGCAGAAGGAGAAAGGAGAUGGAAGGGAACAGGGCGUAGGCUCCAAGAGGUGGCCCGCAAGAACAGCAGCCGCCCUGGAACUGACACAUUUCUGGGCUGCUCUGAGCUGGCCUCUCAAUGGUAGCAGGAGGAGCUUAUGCAUGAAAGCCAGAAAUGGGCCUUCUGAAUAUAAUGGUAACUCCCAGCAAAACUGAUAUUUUAUCUCCUACCAGGACCUUGUACAAUGUUAUUUAUAGCUUUAAGAAUUUGUCUGUGUCUGUAUGAGGAAAUGGUCAAAGUUGUCUGUAUGAGGAAAUGGUCUGGUGACAUUUGAGUAGCUGUCAAACCACAUAGAUUUGCAAGUAUCUGUUUAAAAACUUCCAAAGAAAAUGUUUAGUUGAAUGAGCAUUAAGUGGUUUCCAAAGGUAACAUUUUGGUUACACAAGAGAUCUAAUUUCUCACAGCUCCUCAGCCAACCUGUGCACUCGAUUUUAGACUUCAUGACUUCACAGUCUGUGAAGUCAUCUACAAAACUGCAAGAUUCCCAGGGGGAUUAUGUAAAUUUGAUCUGCCCUCCUCCAUAAAUCUUUUGCACCAUGACUGUGAGGUAUUUACAAUGCCUUUGAAGUUUUUGAGUACACAGGGCAUCAGCAAAGGAAUUGCAUGUGAGUCAGUACAGCAGAGCAUCAGGAUUACUACUUAACAAGUAUCUAUCCAGCCUUUCAGUCCAAUUCUAGGUCCCCAAAGCAGAUGCAAAACAAA